GAUCAGAGAAUUUGAAAAUUUCAACAAUCAGGCAAUUUUAGGGAAAUGGUUAUUCUUCCUUUUUUGGUGAUGUUAUCAUAUUUAAAGUACAGAUUUUUUUUAUAUUAUUUAUUAUUUUCUUGUUUUUUGAGUUUUGUUUACCUAUAAGAACCCUCCAUUUUCUAUGAGACCAAAAAUCACAUGGGUAGAGUUAUUGGUAUCUAUUUGUAUUCUUCAGAAAUUUUGCAUUGGUGUCAAAGUGUCAAACUCUGUUGCUCUAAUUUCUAACCCUCCAAUUAACAGUAGAAUGUAUUGUAAACGGUCACUUACAAUUCUCAUGUUUCUUCACAACAUAAGGUGAAUUUUUCUGUGUCUUAUCUUUGUGUUUUCUUGCAAUCAGCAACGAAGAAUAUGAAAUCUCCACUCAAAGGGAUUAUUAACGACUUUAAAGGAAGAAAAGAGUGCUAUAUGCGAGACUAUCUCGACGCAUUUUCUUCAGGCAACAGGAUUUUGGCUCCAACCACUUAUAUGUUCUUUGCCUCUGCUCUUCCAGUCAUUGUGUUUGGAGAACAACUUAAUAGAGCAGCAGAUGGAAGCUUGAGCACAAUAGAAACUCUGGCUUCGACUGCCAUAUGCGGAAUAAUACAUUCAAUAUUUGUUGGUCAACCUUUGUUGAUAUUGGGAGUUGCCGAGCCCACGGUUAUAAUGUACACUUGCAUAAUUUUACCAAAGGAAAGGUAGAUCUUGGACAAGAGUUCUUCUUGGCUUGGGCUGGAUGGGUUUGCGUCUGGACAACUCUCUUGGUCUUUCUCCUUGCUGUGUUUAAUGCUUGCACUAUUAUCAAUAGAUUAACAAGAAUAGCUGGCGAACUUUUUGGCACGUUGAUUGUUGUUCUUUUCAUGCAAGAGGCUAUCAAGGGGUUGGUUAGUGAAUUUAAGAUCCCCAAAGCUGGAGAUCCAACCGUAGAGAAAUAUCAUUUCCAAUGGCUAUAUACAAAUGGGUUGCUGGCAAUCAUAUUCUCCUUUGGCCUUCUCUUUAGAGCAGAAAAGCAAGGUCAUGGAGGUACGGCACAGGAUGGCAACGAAGUUUUAUUGCAGACUAUGGGGUUCCUUGUAUGGUGCUAGUGUGGUCAGCAUUGUCAUUCAGUGUACCAACCAGAAUUCCUUCAGGAGUUCCCAGGAGGCUCUUUAGUCCACUUCCUUGGGUGUCUCCAUCUUUGCGCCACUGGACGGUAAUCAAGGUACAGGUAGCAUGCCACCUCCAAGAACAUAGCUUGGAAGGCUAGAGGCAGACAGACUGCUU